UACGGAGGGGGCGAGUGUUGUUCGGAAUUAUUGGGCGUAAAGGGCGCGCAGGCGGCUUGGCAAGUCGAGUGUGAAAUCCCUUGGCUUAACUGAGGAAUGGCGCUCGAAACUACCUCGCUAGAGGGCGGGAGAGGGAAGUGGAACUCUCGGUGUAGGGGUGAAAUCUGUAGAUAUCGAGAGGAACACCGGUGGCGAAGGCGGCUUCCUGGACCGACACUGACGCUGAGGCGCGAAAGCUAGGGGAGCAAACGGG
rnacentral:rRNA from 1 species